UGCAAAAGGUGUCCGAUACACACAAAGGGGAGAGAGAAAGAGAGUAUAGUGGAGAAGCCCUCUCUCUCUCUCUCUCUCUCUCUCUCUCGGAGAAGGUGCCAGUUUCCUUGUUCUGGAUCUGUUUAUUGUUCUUAGUCCUUUAAUUUGUAGCUCUCGAUCUUCUACUGAGAUCUCAGCUCUGGGAGAAGCCCUAGCCCGAUAAUUCGAUGCAAAGGGGCUUCUUUUCUGUUGGUUGGCGUGGGGGUCCGUCCCUGCUUGGGAUCCUCUUGAGUUAGGGUUUAGUGGCGGCCGGGGAUGAUGAGGGGAUUCGAGGGGCAGGGAGGGGUUCCUGGGAGCCCUGGCCGCCCCCGUGACGGUCCCAGGGAGCUCGGCGAUGCCGUCGCAGAUAAUGCCCUCUUCGAUGCUUCACAAUAUGCAUUCUUUGGCAAGGGGGUCAUGGAGGAAGUUGAGUUAGGGUGUAUAGAAGACAAUGGCGGUGACAAUGCUGGUUUUAUUGGGAUUGAUGAUGAGUACCAUUUCUCUACCAUUGGAGACAGAGAAGAGGCUGUAGUUUUAGACUCUCUCUCUGAUGCUGAUGACCUUGCUAGCACUUUUGCUAAGUUGAAUAGGGUUGUAAAUGACCCAAGGACUGCAGGAGUUAUUGGUGAUAGAGGAUCUUCUUCUAGAGAAAGUUCUUCAACUGUGGACUGGACACAGGAGGGAGACUAUUUAAACUGGAUUGAUCAGCGAAUAUUAGAUGCUGAAAAUAUUCAGGAAGGUAAAAGAUGGUGGUCACAGCCACGCCCCUCAUCAUCUUUGCUUUCAGAAUCCAAACCACUGUAUAGAGCAUCUUCGUACCCUCAACAGCAACAGCAGCAACAAGAACAGCAGCAGCAGCAGCAGCAAUACGCUCGGGAAUCAGUCUUCAUGCCCAAUUUAUGUGUCACUUCCUACGCUCCACCUGGUGGACGAUCUCAGCCGUUGAUAAACCUUACUCGGCACUUAAGCAUACCGUCUCUUAGUGCUGGGCCCCAGCUACCUGGCCCGAGUCUCGUGCCUUAUUCUGAUUCUCAACAACAUUUGGGAGGAUUAACUCAUGGAUUGCACUAUGGUUCAGACAUAUCUCAGAUUAUUCCUCCUAGCCCUGGGAUGAGUAGCCAGACAAACAACUAUCUGCUGAACCGAGCAAGCCGAUUAUCGAGCGAUGAUAUGUUUCCUAACUUGUUACGGCAACAAUUAUCUCUGCCAAGCAAUUUGAGAGCUUCACAAAUACUGUUGCAGCAUCAACAUCAGAAAUUGCAACAGUUCCAGCCAUCUCUUCCCCAUUUCUCACACUUGCAGACUAGAUUGAACCCUCAUGGUUCCCCACCACAAAUGAGGUACAAAUUUGAUCUGGCUAUUCCCAUGUUUGAUACAAGAGACCAUAGAUUGAAAGCAUCACAAAGAGGAAAACAGACCUUCCGAUUUUCUCACCAGUCUUCAGAUAUGAAGAGUGAUAAUAAAUGGCCACAGAUUAGGUCCAAGUACAUGUCGCCAGAAGAGAUAGAAAACAUUUUGAGAAUUCAAAAUGCAGCAACACACGCGAGUGAUCCUUACGUAAAUGACUACUACCACCAGGCUUGUCUUGCAAAAAAAUCAACUGGAACUGGAAGGCUGAAGCACAAUUUCUGCCCAAUAGCUAUAAAAGAUCUGCCUUCUCGGUCACAUGGUAAUAAUGAAUCAGUUGAUGCACUCAGGAAAGUUCCACUCUCUUCGGUUCGUAGACCUCAACCCCUUCAUGAAUUUGACACAACAUCCUCGUCGGUCAAUGGCACCCAUGAUCAGAAGUCUUCCAUGAAGCCUCUUGAGCAUGAGCCGAUGUUUGCAGCUAGAAUCACCAUUGAAGAUGGUAUUUGUGUACUUCUCAAUGUAGAUGAUAUUGAUAGGCUUUUGCAGUUCAACCCGCCGCAAGACGGUGGAUCACAACUGAGACGGAGAAGGCAGGUUUUCCUGGAAGGGCUUGCGGCAUCACUUAAUCUCGUUGAUCCACUUGGCUCCAAUAAAGCUGGCCAUUCAGUUGGACUCGGCCCAAAAGAUGACAUUGCUUUCCUUCGCAUAGUCUCUCUUGCCAAAGGCCGAAAGUUCUUAUCGCAUUAUCUUCAACUUCUCAACCCUGGAAGUGAGCUCAUGCGAGUGGUAUGCAUGGCCAUUUUCCGACACCUGAGGUUUUUAUUUGGUGGUUUACCUUCAGAUUCCAGUGCAGCCGAAACGAUAACCAAUCUCGCCAAGACUGUCUCUCUAUGCAUGAGUAAAAUGGAAUUGAAUGCACUCGGUGCUUGCCUUGCAGCCAUAGUCUGUUCGCCUGAACAACCACCUCUUCGCCCUGUUGGAAGUUCAGCCGGUGAUGGGGCCACUGUUGUCGUAAAAUCCAUUCUUGACCGGGCAACCGAUCUUCUGUCAGACCCUCAGGCUGCAAACAGUUGCAGCAUAUCUAACCGAACUCUGUGGCAGGCAUCAUUUGAUGCUUUCUUUGGUCUCCUCACUAAAUAUUGUCUGAGUAAAUAUGACAGUAUUCUUCAAAUGUUACUUAUUCAGGCACCAAACGAUGCAGUCGUCGGAUCUGAGGCAACCAGAGCUAUAAGCAGGGAGAUGCCUGUUGAUCUGUUACGAGCGAGCCUGCCUCAUACAGACGAGCAUCAGCACAAGGUGUUGCUUGAUUUUGCUCAGAGAUUGAUGCCUGUUACUGGCUUUAGUGCUCAUGGAAGUGAUAGUGGAUCUGUGACUUAUGAAUCAGUUCCUGGUUGAUGCCUCCGGAGAGACAAAUCAGAUGGCUCCGAACCAUGUGUUAGGUCUGGUCUUCUUUUGUCACAUAUGUGGCUCUUCAAUUAACUGAGCCAUGUUGGCAACUCACUGAAAAGAUGCACCAUGGAACUUGUAAGAUUCUGGGUUUCGUGGUUCUUGAGGCAUGAGGGCGCGCCGACUACCAUCGUCUACGAUUCUCUGGUAAGGACCCUCGGCGUCGGCAUCAUCCAUGGAAAUUUUCAUCAAAGCUUGUAGAUUUCGGAGAGAUUGAUGGCAAGGAAGGAGCACUGGAAGCAAUGACGCAAGGCAUCGGAUUGCCGUUCUCCUUCCCAAGGGGGAAUGCAUUUUUCUCAGCCUGCCGUCACCAUCCAUCCGCCCGAACAUAGGAAGAAGCUUGUUGCGGUAGACCAUGGAGGAUGGAGCAGGUGUCAAUCUAAACAUGCACAGAAUCAGGUCUAUCAAUCGUUACAUCACUGGAAGCAAUGACGCAAGGCAUCGGAUUGCCGUUCUCCUUCCCAAGGGGGAAUGCAUUUUUCUCAGCCUGCCGUCACCAUCCAUCCGCCCGAACAUAGGAAGAAGCUUGUUGCGGUAGACCAUGGAGGAUGGAGCAGGUGUCAAUCUAAACAUGCACAGAAUCAGGUCUAUCAAUCGUUACAUCACUGGAAGCAAUGACGCAAGGCAUCGGAUUGCCGUUCUCCUUCCCAAGGGGGAAUGCAUUUUUCUCAGCCUGCCGUCACCAUCCAUCCGCCCGAACAUAGGAAGAAGCUUGUUGCGGUAGACCAUGGAGGAUGGAGCAGGUGUCAAUCUAAACAUGCACAGAAUCAGGUCUAUCAAUCGUUACAUCACUGGAAGCAAUGACGCAAGGCAUCGGAUUGCCGUUCUCCUUCCCAAGGGGGAAUGCAUUUUUCUCAGCCUGCCGUCACCAUCCAUCCGCCCGAACAUAGGAAGAAGCUUGUUGCGGUAGACCAUGGAGGAUGGAGCAGGUGUCAAUCUAAACAUGCACAGAAUCAGGUCUAUCAAUCGUUACAUCACUGCACCCUUCCCUUCCUUAUGGUAGGCAGGUAGGUUGGUUCUCUCCAACAACACGGACUUCUCAUGUUUCGCACUGCAUGUCGUGCAAGGAAUUGCAAGAAACCAAAGCAACAGCAGUGACAGAGACUUGGAUCGGACUAUACAACAUGAACAUAGAGUGGAUCACACUCAUCCGUCUCAUAACCCAAGUCAUCAGCUAACUUUGAUCCCUCGUACUCGAAAGCUUCGAGUCCUGAAGCCUUGUGCAGUAUCUCUUCAUCUGCUUCGAAGCCGAUGCAGUCGGUCACGCUCAGCUUCUCCAGCUCUCUGCUGCCGCUCAGAAUCGCCAACAACUUUUCCUUGGGCAAAUACGAGUCGUGGAGGCGCAGAUUCUUGAUCCUUGGAAGGUAAUCGACGAUUGCAGAUACGUCCUCGAUCUUGAUAGACCCGGACAUUGCAAGCCCGGAGAAUCGCUUGCAGUUGAGGCUGAUCUGCUUUACCAGUUCCAAGAAGGAAGAUGGCUUCGACUCCAUUUCCAGUCUCUCGAGUUCCUUCCACUUCCCCACGAUCUCCGGGAUGCAGCAGCAGAAGAAGAAGAAGAAGAAGAAGAAGAGGAGUGCGUACGCGUCGGAAGCGUAGACCAGAUCUCGCAGGGAGGCACCGAAGACGCGAGGGAAGCGGAGCUCGCGCGCGGUGCCUUUGCUGCGGGCGGCGGCGAGCUUGAGCAGCCCCGUGAAGGACGGACGGCGUACGGAGAGCCGCGCCGCCAGGCUCUUGGAGAGAUCGCUCCAUGGCAUGAAGUCCAUGCCCCGGAAAUCGAGCACUCUCCAGCAGAGGGGGUCGAGGGAGGCUUUGCGCCACGACCGGCACACCGAUGGCGCGGCCACCGUCAAGUCCACCAGGCUCAGCCGCCGGAAGAUGUUGACGAGGCAGUCCUCCUCCAUCUCCUCCCAUCUCCUCCCCUCCAUCUCCAGUCGCCACGAUGAGACGGUCGAUUGGAGUUCUUAGAAGAAGCAGCCACCAGCUUUGCGGGAUAAAGACGGAGGAAGAAUGGAAUGGUCAAAGGGAAUGACGUUGGACUGUUGACAGGAAUUCCACGCUGGCUGCGUUCCAGAGAGCCUUCUUUCUCUCUCUCUCUCUCUCUCUCUCUCUUCUCAUCCAUCGUCAAAGUCAUAAUAUUUCUAAUUGGCUAAUAGACAUAUUGAUAAUCUCUGACUCAACUGGGCCAGGUUGGGUUGAUACACUCUAUUAUCUUUAGUUGAUCCAUGGAUUCGAUCCAGGUCAGGUUGGGUUGAGAUUGGCAAAUCCACCUCCCAAAGGUGCCGAUCGUUAGUAGUCAGAAACAUGAAAGUUUGUAUCACCCACAUAGAAAUUUGAUAGAAGAUGAUAAUCGAGACAA